rnacentral:rRNA from 1 species
GACGAACGCUGGCGGCGUGCCUAAUACAUGCAAGUAGAACGCACAGUUUAUACCGUAGCUUGCUACACCAUAAACUGUGAGUUGCGAACGGUUGAGUAACGCGUAGGUAACCUGCCUGGUAGCGGGGGAUAACUAUUGGAAACGAUAGCUAAUACCGCAUAAUAUUAAUUAUUGCAUGAUAAUUGAUUGAAAGAUGCAAUUGCAUCACUACCAGAUGGACCUGCGUUGUAUUAGCUAGUAGGUGAGGUAACGGCUCACCUAGGCGACGAUACAUAGCCGACCGGAGAGGGGGAUAGGCCACACUGGGACUGAGACACGGCCCAGACUCCUACGGGAGGCAGCAGUAGGGAAUCUUCGGCAAUGGACGAAAGUCUGACCGAGCAACGCCGCGUGAGUGAAGAAGGUUUUCGGAUCGUAAAGCUCUGUUGUAAGAGAAGAACGGGUGUGAGAGUGGAAAGUUCACACUGUGACGGUAUCUUACCAGAAAGGGACGGCUAACUACGUG